rnacentral:rRNA from 1 species
AGAGUUUGAUCCUGGCUCAGGAUGAACGCUGGCGGCGUGCUUAACACAUGCAAGUCGAACGGGAUCCAGGGAGCGUUUUUCGUUUUUUGGUGAGAGUGGCGAACGGGUGAGUAACACGUGAGUAACCUGUCCUUUUCUUUGGGAUAAGCUCCUGAAAGGGUGUUUAAUACCUUAUGUUCUGUCUGCCUCGCAUGGGGUGGGUGGGAAAGAUUUUUUCGGUGAAGGGUGGGCUCGCGGUCUAUCAGCUUGUUGGUGGGGUGAUGGCUUACCAAGGCUUUGACGGGUAGCCGGCCUGAGAGGGUGGUCGGUCACAUUGGGACUGAGAUACGGCCCAGACUCCUGCGGGAGGCAGCAGUGGGGGAUAUUGCACAAUGGGCGCAAGCCUGAUGCAGCGACGCCGCGUGGGGGAUGAAGGCCUUCGGGUUGUAAACUUCUUUUGCUCUGAACAAGGCGCACCAGUGGGUGUGUUGAGUGUAGGGGUUGAUUAGCGCCGGCUAACUACGUGCCAGCAGCCGCGGUAAUACGUAGGGCGCGAGCGUUGUCCGGAAUUAUUGGGCGUAAAGGGCUUGUAGGUGGCUGGUUGCGUCUGUCGUGAAAGCUCAUGGCUUAACUGUGGGUUUGCGGUGGGUACGGGCUGGCUUGAGUGCAGUAGGGGAGGCUGGAAUUCCUGGUGUAGCGGUGGAAUGCGCAGAUAUCAGGAGGAAUACCGGUGGCGAAGGCGGGUCUCUGGGCUGUUACUGACACUGAGGAGCGAAAGCAUGGGGAGCGAACAGGAUUAGAUACCCUGGUAGUCCAUGCUGUAAACGGUGGGAACUGGGUGUGGGGGGCUUUUUUGUCUUCUGCGUCGUAGCUAACGCGUUAAGUUCCCCGCCUGGGGAGUACGGUCGCAAGGCUAAAACUCAAAGGAAUUGACGGGGGCCCGCACAAGCGGCGGAGCA